GUGAGACAGAGAUCCACUUCAUCCUUCCAACAGGCAAGCAAGUCCAGUGGAAUUGUACCCUUCCAGUGUCCUAUUGCAAAGCAGACCUUGAUGAAUCUUCGGAUGCUGCAGACUAUCUUCCAGUCUCAUGUGGCAAUUCCUCGGAUGCUUCUAUUAUAAGUACUACAAGUUCUUGUAGUAAGGAAUAUAAAACCACAGAAAAGAAUCUCCACCACAAAUUGUCAGAGAACACACCAUUAGGGAAUGUUACAGCACACAGUGGGGAUAGUACCACCAGUUCAGAGAAGCCAAGAACAUUAAGUUAUUCAAAGAUGCGCAGCAAUCCUUGUACUUCAGUAAUAAGCUGCAGUGCCAAUUCAUCAGAGAACACAUCACACCAGAAAAGCUCCAUAAAUGUCACACCUUUGUCAAUAACAGCAAAAGGAAGCAAGUACAACAAGAAGCAAUUUUGUCUUUAUUGUAAAAAGGCCAAUUAUAAAUUGGCAAG